ensembl:lncRNA
GACCCAGGAACCCCCUCCUCCACUCCCCCUUCCUCGGCUCUGUGACCUCAUCCCGCUGGAAUGUGCUCUCCGUGGAAGAGAGCAGUGAUGCGCAGAGCUCGUCCACCGCUGGCUCUCUGGGGGGCCAUAAUCACAUUCUUGCUGUUUAUACAGUGUCUGGAAGAAGAAUGGGUCACUAAUUUGGAUGAGGAAGCUGUGGCCUCUCCCUUCCCCUGUGCUGUAGCAAGCUAGGCAGCUUCUCCCUCCCGUGUUGGUCAUUCCCAUUGGCCCUUCUCUGUCUGGACCCCUACCUGCCACUCCUGAGCUGGACCUCUGGCUUCCUGCUGUAUUUGAUCACAGUGAGCUGGACUCAGAGAAGGGAGAAGGACCCUUCCUGCCUGCCCGGGCCACAACCCCAACCUGUGCCGUGUGACCUGGCUCAUCCUGUGUGUGAGAAAGGGCUCCCUCCCCUUGCUCCUCACACCUGAAGGAGGUGACUGUCACCGGCCCCCAGGUACAUCACCUGCUCCUGUGUCUGCCCUCUGCCUCGGUAAUUCUCCCUCGAAGGAGCUGCCAGUUCCUGCCAGGAUCCCAGCUGCCUGAACAGCCCGGGCUGCCCGCUGUGAGCCGCUCGCUGCAAACCCUCCUGCAGGCACAGAUGCACCCUUGAUUGGACCUCCCUCCCCUGAGCCAGUCAGAUUCUGAGCGAUCCAAGCUUCACACGUUUGCAGGACUCCGGGAAGCACUGUUGAAACUGCCGUGCUCCAGGACACACAGCUUACUUAGAACCCAGCCUCUCAUGUGCCCUAGGCCUGUGUGACAGGGUCAGACCGUGUUGGUCCCUGAGGUCACGCGAAGUUGCAUGCGGCAGUGGCCUCAGCACCCUGGACAGCAGAGGGUCAGCACCUAAGAGUCCUGCUGGGGAGAAACACCUGCCCAGACAAGGGGAUGGACAGGCCACAAGGGACACAGGCCCCUGAGGAAGAAGGAGAGCUGCAGGACGACAGCCCAGUGCCCUUGAGUUCUGCCUGUGCUUUCUGUGUCCAUCUGGAAGAUGCUUCUGUAUCUUUGCAAUACGUUUCUCUCUCACUGUCACAGGCUUCUGUCCUUGACAACCAAGUGAAGCUAGAUCAGGCCCCAAAGGUUUUUCUUCUUCGUCUUCACCUGGAUCACACCUCUCCUUCUCCCAGACACCUCCACUGUGAGCCCCGGUGGGGAAGUCUUCCCAGGACCGCCAGGAUAGCAUGGGGACCCCUGCCCUGAGCUCUUCCUUCAACCUGCUCAGGUUGUGUGUAAGGGCCUGCCUCCCACCCAACUCUCAAGUGUUCUGCUGCCCCCAGGUGGUGACAUGGGCAGGAGGCCCCUUGAAACAUCUCUGGUUCAAGGUCAAAGCCCCAAGCAGCACAGGCAUUGAACUAUCACACAGUAUCCCAUCAGUAUGUACAAUUAAAGUAUUACAUAUUAACUAAAAAGAAAAACUAGGGCCGGGGAUUUAGCUCAGUGGUUCCACCGCCUGCCCUGCAAGUGCAAGGUCCCGAGUUAAAUCCGUGGUUCCAGAAAAAAAAAAGAAAGAAAAACUGAAAUGAAAUAAGCCAGGGACCUUGGGACCAAAUGUCAAGAUGAAGGGGAGAAGGAGCAAGGAGCGUUGGAGCUCAGAGAGCUGGUCCUGCCCUGUGGCACAGUAGCAGCUGCAGCUCAAGGCUCCAUGCUGGGCUGGCUGCCCUCUCUACUUGCUGCUGUGCUCGAAUGGAGUGGAAAUCUCUUGAGGGGAGGAAGCGUAUCCCUCUGCUGAGAAAGUGAGAGGCUCAUUAUUUCACUGAGAUUUCAGACGUUGUGUUCAUUUGCUAUGGCUGCUCUGAAACUACACGAACCAGGUGGCUUAACAACAGAUAUCUUGGUCUCACAGUUCGAAAGGCUACAAAUCCAAGAUCAAGAUAUCCACGGAGCUGGUUCUGUCUGGGGCUUGUUCCAUGGCGCUCGGCUAACUUCUGGCAGCUGCCUGGCAGUAGCCGUGUCCUUUGGCUCGAGACACAUCACUCUCUACCUUCCCGUUCACAUGGAGUUCUCUCUGAGUGCUCAUCGCUGUCCAGAAUCUCUCCUUUUCUUAGGACAGAACUUGCAUCCAAUUGGAGACCCACCCUAUUCCAAUGUGAUCUCAUCUGAAUGAAUGACAUUGGCAACAGCCUUGUACUGUGUGUAGCUCCGAGGGCCUGUGGGUCACGACUCCAACAUGUGAAUGUCAGGGGUACAAAUUCAGCCCAAAACAGGUCACUUAAGGUUCUUGCAUAGAUGGUUAUUGACCGACCAACUGACUGAUUGAUUUAAAGUUGUCCUGUGAGUUCUUCAGAGAAACUGGGAUCAAACUCGGGUCCUUCUGCUUGCGAGGCAGGUGCCGGAACCACUGAGCUACAUCCCCAGCCAAACAUACUCUUGAUUGUUGGCAUGAUUCAGUUCCUCAGGCUGUUCACC